rnacentral:tRNA from 1 species
GCGGGCAUCUUAGGGAAUAAGAAUACUUGACUUUUAAUCAAGUUGUCCGGGGUUCGAAUCCCCGAUGCUUCA